rnacentral:lncRNA from 1 species
AUAUGAGCGCGUGAGAGUGCAUGCACCAAAACAGGGCCCUUACAAGAAUAAAUUUCAAUGUGUCUGUGCGUGUUUCUUUUAUGAGCUGCAUGUAGACAAGUUAAAUGUUCUAUUAAAACUGAUAGGCAACCAUGAUAAGCAAUUGCAGCCAAAAUUGAAAUGAACAUGUCAACCAUUUAAUUUUACCAACCAAUAAGUUUUUGCGUUGUUCAUUAAUAUUAACAAUAACAGAAGUACAGAAACUUACCUUCACUAGAAUGAAUGCAUAAACGUUAAUGGCCAACAGCGACACUCCUAUUUUUGACAAAAGAAAAGAUAAAGAUAAGAUAACAUGGAUUAGCAUAAAGAAAAUUCAAAUGAAAGGUAAUGAACUCAUGAUAAGACAAAAAAACAACAUAGGCUUUUCAUCAAACAGGUGACGUGCUUCGAACUUACCCAAACUAUUGGCAUAGAAAUCAAUCAUUAAUCUUAAAAUAAUUAAUCCAAUUCACCACAUCAACUCCUCAGUAAAAUUAACGAAAGCAUAAAUUAACGGUUAGAUGAUGAAGGAGAACGAAACUCUAUUCAGUGGUAUGGUCAACUAGAUUGCAAUAAUUAUGACACUCUCCGUUCUGGAUUAUCAACAAAUGUAAUAGGAGCUUCGACAAGAAAUUCAAAAGAUGUCAAACUCAGUCGACAAUCUGGUGGAUAUACUACAAUGCUGAACCCAAGCUAUUUCAGACAUUCAGUUGUGGGUAGAACACCGAUCAAAUUUACAAUUUCGCACUGAGUAGAUCCUUAAGAGGUCAAAUUAUAACAAAGGGACUUUUCAUUUUUCGGCUGAGCGGAUUCAAACUCAAAUGAAACUCAGCCAAAUACAUCAAAUGGGAACCAGUAGGGAUUGUUAAGCCGAACAGUAACAGCCCAACCAACGCCAGUUCUAUCAAUACCAUCAGCGUAAUCAUCUCAUCCUAUUUAUUUAUAAUAUUCUCGACAACAUCGUGCCCUUAGGAUCUAUAGGUCAAAUAAGACAGAAAUUCAACACCCAUUUUCGGUGGGAAGAGGCACAAGCAGAAUAUGAUUCAACUGUUUUGCACGGUGCUUUAACAAACCUGGGCAUAGAGUUUCGGGUAGCAGUCCGACCGGUCUAUAGGCAUUUUUGUUUUUUCUUUUUCAUUUUGAAUAAAAAUUUAAAUCUUAUGUAUUUU